GACGAACGCUGGCGGCGUGCUUUACACAUGCAAGUCGAACGGAAAGGCCCUGCUUGCAGGGUGCUCGAGUGGCGCACGGGUGAGUAACACGUGGGUGAUCUGCCCCUUACUUUGGGAUAAGCCUGGGAAACUGGGUCUAAUACUCGAUAGGACCCUGCUGUAGGUGGUGUGGUGGAAAGAUUAGUUUCGGUAAGGGGUGAGCUGGCGGCCUAUCAGCUUGUUGGUGGGGUAAUGGCCUACCAAGGCGUCGACGGGUAGCCGGCCUGAGAGGGUGGACGGCCACAUUGGGACUGAGAUACGGCCCAGACGCCUACGGGAGGCAGCAGUGGGGAAUAGUGCACAAUGGGAGCGAGCCGGGUGCAGCGACGCCGCGUGGGGGAUGACGGACUUCGGGUUGUAAACUCCUUUCAGCCAUGACGAAGCCCUUGUGGUGACGGUAGUGGUAGAAGAAGCACCGGCUAACUACGUG
rnacentral:rRNA from 1 species